GGAUCUGAGGGUGAUCUGGAUGCGACAUCUGUCACCCCGUUGAACACCAGGGUUAAUUUGGCUGAUCUGGCUGGCUAGGUGGGUGUCCCCUACCUCCCUCACUUCUCCAUGUGUGUCCCUCCUGAAGCUGCAUGCUCAGCCAAAGAGGAUGACCUUUGGUCUUUGGUUGAGGGUAUCCGAGGACCUGCACUCCCCUGCUAGAACCUCCAAACAAGUUCUCAAAGAGACCUUCAUGCUUGAGGCUCUGAGGUCCCAGGUUCAAUCCCCAGCACCACUAUCAGCCAGAGCUGAGCAGU
ensembl:misc_RNA 7SK 7SK RNA